rnacentral:snRNA from 1 species
AUCGCUUCUCGGCCUUUUGGCUAAGAUCAAGUGUAGAAUGUCUCACUGAAGAUCAUGAUUUUUUUGGUUGCCCUGGGUCUUUGUUGUGGCACAUGGGCUCUUCAUUGCUGAUGUGGGCUUUCUCUACUUGUGGCAAACGGGGG